rnacentral:rRNA from 1 species
AUUGAACGCUGGCGGCAUGCCUUACACAUGCAAGUCGAACGGCAGCGGGGACUUCGGUCCGCCGGCGAGUGGCGAACGGGUGAGUAAAGCAUCGGAACGUGCCCUGAAGUGGGGGAUAACGUAGCGAAAGUUACGCUAAUACCGCAUAUUCUGUGAGCAGGAAAGCAGGGGAUCUUCGGACCUUGUGCUUUAGGAGCGGCCGAUGUCGGAUUAGCUAGUUGGUGAGGUAAAGGCUCACCAAGGCGACGAUCCGUAGCGGGUCUGAGAGGAUGAUCCGCCACACUGGGACUGAGACACGGCCCAGACUCCUACGGGAGGCAGCAGUGGGGAAUUUUGGACAAUGGGCGCAAGCCUGAUCCAGCCAUGCCGCGUGAGUGAAGAAGGCCUUCGGGUUGUAAGCUCUUUCGGCGGGAAGGAAAUGGCGCUUUCUAAUACAGAGCGUUGAUGACGGUACCCGCGAUAAGAAGCACCGGCUAACUACGUGCCAGCAGACCCGG